AGUGAAUAGAUACCCGGGUAGUCCACGCCGUAAACGAUGAGUGCUAAGUGUUAGAGGGUUUCCGCCCUUUAGUGCUGAAAGUUAAACGCAUUAAGCACUCCGCCUGGGGAGUACGGCCGCAAGGCUGAAACUCAAAGGAAUUGACGGGGGCCCGCACAAGCGGUGGAGCAUGUGGUUUAAAUUCGAAGCAACGCGAAGAACCUUACCAGGUCUUGACAUCCUCUGAAAACCCCUAGAGAUAGGGCUUCUCCUUCGGGAGCAGAGUGACAGGUGGUGCAUGGUUGUCGUCAGCUCGUGUCGUGAGAUGUUGGGUUAAGUCCCGCAACGAGCGCAACCCUUGAUCUUAGUUGCCAUCAUUAAGUUGGGCACUCUAAGGUGACCGCCGGUGACAAACCGGAGGAAGGUGGGGAUGACGUCAAAUCAUCAUGCCCCGUUAUGACCUGGGCUACACACGUGCUACAAUGGACGGUACAAACGAGCUGCAAGACCGCGAGGUGGAGCUAAUCUCAUAAAACCCGGUUCUCAGUUCGGAUUGUAGGCUGCAAC
rnacentral:rRNA from 1 species